AUUGAACGCUGGCGGCAGGCCUAACACAUGCAAGUCGAGCGGAUGAGUGGAGCUUGCUCCAUGAUUCAGCGGCGGACGGGUGAGUAAUGCCUAGGAAUCUGCCUGGUAGUGGGGGACAACGUUUCGAAAGGAACGCUAAUACCGCAUACGUCCUACGGGAGAAAGCAGGGGACCUUCGGGCCUUGCGCUAUCAGAUGAGCCUAGGUCGGAUUAGCUAGUAGGUGAGGUAAUGGCUCACCUAGGCGACGAUCCGUAACUGGUCUGAGAGGAUGAUCAGUCACACUGGAACUGAGACACGGUCCAGACUCCUACGGGAGGCAGCAGUGGGGAAUAUUGGACAAUGGGCGAAAGCCUGAUCCAGCCAUGCCGCGUGUGUGAAGAAGGUCCUUCGGAUUGUAAAGCACUUUAAGUUGGGAGGAAGGGCAGUAAGUUAAUACCUUGCUGUUUGUACGU
rnacentral:rRNA from 1 species